rnacentral:rRNA from 1 species
CGUUUACCGUGAAAAAAUUAGAGUGUUCAAAGCAGGCAGAUCCAAUUUUCUGCCACCGAAUACAUUAGCAUGGGAUAAUGGAAUAGGACCCUGUCCUCCUAUUUUCAGUUGGUUUUGGCAGCGCGAGGACUAGGGUAAUGAUUAAUAGGGAUAGUUGGGGGCAUUAAUAUUUAAUUGUCAGAGGUGAAAUUCUUGGAUUUAUGAAAGAUUAACUUCUGCGAAAGCAUCUGCCAAGGAUGUUUUCAUUAAUCAAGAACGAAAGUUAGGGGAUCGAAGACGAUCAGAUACCGUCGUAGUCUUAACCAUAAACGAUGCCGACCAGCGAUUAGGAGACGUUGAAUACAAAACACCACCAUCGGUGCGGUCGUCCUUGGCGUCUCGGUCCUUCACGGGGCCGGGGCGCGGGGGUGGCUUAGCCCGGUGGCACCGGUGAAUGACUCCCCUAGCAGCUUGUGAGAA